AAACUUUCAACAACGGAUCUCUUGGUUCUGGCAUCGAUGAAGAACGCAGCGAAAUGCGAUAAGUAAUGUGAAUUGCASAAUUCAGUGAAUCAUCGAAUCUUUGAACGCACAUUGCGCCCGCUGGUAUUCUGGCGGGCAUGCCUGUUCGAGCGUCAUUAU
rnacentral:rRNA from 1 species